AGUAAAAGAAUAAAUUGAUUUAUCUUCCUCCGGUACUGCAGUUUUGUGACCUUUCAAUCAACAUGCUAAUAGCUCGAGUUAUUUGGUGGAUGCAUUAUAUGACCCUCAGCCAUUCCUGGACCUGUUCCUGAUGAACUAGUAGUUCCAACUACAGAAUCUAUAGGUGUUAAAUUGCUGUUAAAGAUGGGAUGGCGGCAUGGUCGGUCAAUAAAGGAUUCAAAUAGUGAUGCACUGUAUGGUAUGACUUUAGAACACAUGCUCUUCUUAUAUCAGAAAACUGUAUUACUCUAGUACUAGUUCAUGCAUAAUCUGGAAAGUCGGGAAAGUUCUUGGGAGAUCUCAAUUUAAGAUCAUAGCUGCUGUCAAUUGCAAUUAUGUGAUGGCAAACUAAGUUGUUUUUUGACCUGUCACCCUUGGGUAGGUGAAGGUUAUUGCGUCUUUAACUAAUGGAUCUCCUGGAAUUUUGCUAGACCCCUUUUAUAAAUACAUACACACAUGCGCACAAUAACCAGAGGCAGAGGCAGUAUUUUUUUUUUCUUUUCCGUAUGCUAUUAUACAUUUGGCGUUUCUCUCUGAGUUUGUCAGUUAAAAGAGAGAAUUUCAGCUGUUGUUAGGCAUAGAGAAUUGGGAAUAAAAGAUUGAGACUUGGAGAUGAACCACAGAAGGAUACUGGAAAGGCUAAAGAGAUUUUACCCUUACCUGGGAAAAAAUUCUUAUUGAUGUUUCUUCUUCACUUUGGUUCUUAUCUGUGAUCAAUG